AGCAGGAAGGAGCCAGACUGGAGAAAGGAGGCUUCAUCCCAUACCUUGGGGAUGAUAGAGGAGACGCCCCCUGGCGUCGGUGGGAAUGGAAAGGAGCCCGCAUGGACGGCUGCGUGGUGGAGCCUCGGAAGCCAGACCCAGCACACAGCAAGAAGGCGGCUGUCUACAAACCAGGAAGAGAGGACCUCUCACCAAGAACUGAAUCAGCCAGCACCUUGAUCUUGGUCUUCCCAGUCUCCAGAACUGAGAGAAAUAAAUGUCUGCUGUCAACAAAAUUUAGCUCUGUACAUUGGUAAAGAUGGCAUCAAAGCAGAAAAAAAAAAUUAAGUGCAUAGGGUGUAAAUGAAACAAGAAGAGCCGCAAGCUGAUGACUAUUGAAAUGGGCAUAGAUAAGUAGGGGGGUCUAUGCCAACACUGUCCAAAAUACGUCAUGCGAACCAUAUGUGUCAUUUUAAAUUUCCCAGUAGUCAUAUUUUACAAGGUAAAAAGAAAUAGGCUAAUUCUUUUUUAAAAUUAUCUUUAUUUAACUCAAUAGCUGCAAACUAUAAUCAUUUCAAUGUGUGUCAGUAACCCAGUCUGAAGUGCUCUGUCUCACACAUGGCUGGUGGUUAUCAUACUGAACAGCAGAAUUCUAUGCUAGACACUCUACUAGUAUGCAUGCUGAAAAUGUUUUCCAGAAUAAAAACAAAAAGUUG
rnacentral:lncRNA from 10 species